AGUGAAAGCGGAUUGGGAAAAUACUAAGCAGCGAAGGUUUUUGUUUCGAUCUUGGUCUCAUUUUCCUAGCCUUUGCCUUCUCUGGCGUGAUUCAUUUCAGUUCAUUGGAUGAUGGAAGAACCAUGCAUGCCGAUAUUUACCCUUUGAUUUAGGUUUAGGUGUUGUAUAGGAACUUUAAGUUUUGCUCGACAUAAGGGGAGGGAGAGGGAGAGUAGGUAGAAUUGUGAGAAAAGGUUGGAAAGAUCUGGCCCAAGAAGGUGAUAGCCCUGUAGAGAGGUCCGCAUGGUUCAUUCUAUAAGUAAAACACAACGUGUUUUGAAUUAGGCAUCGCUUCAAUAGUGAGAAAGGGGGACCACCCCUUUUAAAGCCAAGUAUCCCUCAAUGACCGAUAGCAUACAAUUCCACGAGGGAAAGUUGAUAAAGAACCCUAGGAAAAGGAGUGCAAUAGAAAGAAAUCUGAAUGGAACAAUCAUGAAAGGAAUUUCUUACUUGACCCUCCGGGGAAAGGAGCGAAGUUGUAGGUAAUAUUCUCAGGGUCUAAUCUGACCAGAAAUACAGUCUAUUUGUUUUAAAUACCCUAGUAGAGAUCAGGGUUGAGUUUACUUGGACGCGGCUCACCCUAAUGAUGUACCUUUUUCAUAAUGGGUCAGUGAGUAAAUGGUAACAGCGACUUAAGCCAUUAGGUGUAGGUGCUUUCCGGCCAGGGAAUCUCCUAGUUGUGACUAUUUGAUCAGAAACCAGUUGAUAUAUCCAUGAGAAGGUUGAAGAGAGCUCCAAUAGGCCUUGGAGGACCAAACCCACGUAUGUGAAAAAUACAGGGAUGACUUGUGGCAAGGGGUGAAAGGCCAACCAAGAUCCAAUAUAGUUGGUUUUCUGUGAAAUCUAUUUCAGUAGUGUGUGUGUAUAACAUGGCUCUAGGUAGAGCACUCAAUGGUCUAGGGUGGCCUAAUGCUUGACCAACCCCAAGGAAACUCCAAAUACAAGUUUAAUCAAUCGUAGAGACAAACUUUGGGUGCUAAGAUUGAGAGUCGAGAGGGAAACAACCUAGAUCAUACGCUAAGGUCCCUAAGCAAUCACUUAGUGGAAAAGGAAGUGAUUGAGCGAUGAUAACUAGGAGGUGGGCUUGGAAGCAUCCAUCCUUCAAAGAAAUCUUAAUAGCUCACUGGUCUAGCUACAUGGCACCAAAAAUAUAUCGGGGCUCAAGUGAUUCACAGAAGCAACGAGACCGUGGAAGCGUUAAGUGGGAUCUCAACACCCAAGGUUCUUUAUUGCUCACCAUAAGGGUGAGGUUUUUUCAUGACUAAUAGGAGAGGGUAAUUUCUUGCUCGACUUACGGAGAGGUAAUACCUUGCUUGACUCAUAGGAGGGAGGGCGAGAAGCGAGGUGCCAACCAAGUGUUAGUAGCAGGACAUUCUAUCAAUCGGGGAAGGGAAAACACCUUGAGAUAUCAGAAGUGAUAUUGCUGACAUGAGUGACGAUGAAUCAUGUGAAAAACAUGAUUUCCUGCUAAUUCCAUGGUUUUUGCGUUCAGUCAAUAUACGCAAAGUGAGUUGGUCCCUAAGGAACCCCCAAAGGGGCUUUCGUCUGAUGCGUACACGAAAGUGAUGAAGUUGCCCCAACUACUGAACCAUGCUUGUUUGUUGAAGUGAAUUGGAUGAGAGUUCAAUUUUCCUACCAACCAAAUUAAAAUGAAUGCAAAAGCGCGCUUUUUGUUAGGGUUUCAACUUCCAGGAAAAAAACUUUGAAUUGGGAGGGUGAUCCUCUCGGUGAGCUAACCAUACCCCAAACCAACACAAGUGAAUAAGUAGAGUAUACUAGGGUGCUUAAGAGAACCAUGUUGAAGGAACUCAGCAAAGACCCCAUAUCUUUGGGAGAAGUGGUGCUCCCCUCCUAUCGUUGGGUUGGGAAAGCAGCACAUACUAGGGGCUAGCGACUGUUUGUUAAAAACACAGGACUCUACCAAGUGGUAACAUGAUGUAUAGAGUCUGACACCUGCCCCAGUGCUAGAAGGUUGGAAGGAGAAGUGUGAUAAGAUUUGAAUGGAAGCCUCAAUAAAUAGUGGCAAUAACCUUAAUUGUCCUAAGAUAUCGAAAUUCCUUAUCGCAUAAGUAGCGACCUGCGCGAAUGGUGUAAUGAUUUCCCUACUGUCUCCAACAUGGACCCAGUGAAGUUGAAUUCUCCGUGAAGAUGCAGAGUACCAAUGGCUAGACAGUAAGACCCCAUGCACCUUAACUAUAGCUUCACAGUGACAACCUCUUACGAAUGUGUGGGAUAGGUGGGAGGUGGGAAUUAUCAAUCCUGGAAUACCACUCUUUCAUCUAAGGAUACCUAACCACUUCUCUCUCUAGAUUGAUUCUCAGGGUGGGACACUGCGAGGUGGGUAGUUUAUCUAGGGUGGAUGCCUCGUAAAGAGUAAGAAAGGUGUGCGAAGGUAGGCACUUUCAAUAAGCAAGUGUAAUGGUCUAAGCUUGCAUAACUGUGAGACUCACUAGUCGAACAGAGAUGAAAGUCGGCCAUAGUGAUUCGGGAGUCCCACGUGGAAGGGCUUUCGCGCUCAACGGAUCAAAUGUAUGACAAGGAUAAUAGGUUGAUGACUCCCAAGAGCUCUUAUUGAUGGAGUCGUUUGGCACCUUGAUGUGGACUCAUCACAUCCUGGAGUUGAAGAAGGUCCCAAGGGUUUUGUUGUUCGCCGAUGAAAGGGGUAUGUGAUUUGGGUUUAGAACGUCAUGAAACAGUUCGGUUCCUAUCUACCUUGGUGUUGAAGGGAGAACUGUGAGGAGCCAACCAUAGUACAAGAGGAUUGGGUUGGGCCAACCUAUGGUGUACCAGUUGUCACACCUAGCAGCGUCGGGUAGCCAAGUUGGUAUGGAAGAACUACUAAAAGCAUCUAAGUGGGAAAUCCUUCUCUAGACAAGUUCUCUCGUACGAGGGUGAAAGAACAUCACUUCGAUAGGCAAUAGGUGUAAGCACCACGAGGUGUUUAGCGAUGUCAUACUAAACCGAAAAGAACUUGCUCU
rnacentral:rRNA from 1 species